UGGUGGAGCGAUUUGUCUGGUUAAUUCCGUUAACGAACGAGACCUCGACCUGCUAAAUAGUUCCAUUCAAGUUUCGGCUUGGAUUGGUUUGACUUCUUAGAGGGACUAUCGGUGUGUAGCCGAUGGAAGUUCGAGGCAAUAACA
rnacentral:rRNA from 1 species